UGUCCUCUCCUCCUCCUCUGCUCCCUCAGCAUUUGUGAGAAAGUGGCACUGGAGAUGAAGCUUGGUUUUGUGUAAUGCUGGGUUCUCUUUUUGUCCUGAAUACUUCCAAGGAAAUCCAGCCACAGAGCUAGAGUUGGAAACCUGAAGCUAGUGAGGGGAAAGAAGGGGUAAUGGGUAGAGGGAGCACCAGGCACUCGCAGCCACUGCGUCCCCUCCCAGCUGCCCUCCCAGUGCCUUGCAGGGACUGUCCAGCAGGAGUAUGGCUUUCACCUUUAAAAAGCCAAGCCUGAGAAAUCCAAACUUAGGACAAACCAAAAUGAGGACAAAGGGAUUCACAGGAUGUGUAAAUAGAUUCUUUGCUAAAGACCUGCUGGCACCCAUCUGGUGUGUAAAAGGGCACCCUUGGGUGUGGGGAUGCAGGGUAACUGGAGGUGAGUUCUUCAACAUGAAAGCCCUUCAGUAGACUCACAGUGAUAUAACCAUCCUGAGCUUUGCCGAGAUGGGCAAUAGGCCCAAAAUGUAGGACCUUUCCCCAGGGAAGAAAUUUCUCAGGUUCCACUGUCUGUAAGGAUUCUAACCUCUCCCUCUAGGAAGUCACGGCAAAUCAGAGGUAAAAAUUCCCAGCUGAUCACUGGACUCCUCCCUCUCCUUCCAUUCCUUGGCGCUCCUGAGUGUUGGGGAGGGUUUUAGGAGCCAGUUCCCCACCCCCCAGCACCUCCUCUUCAGUUACAACACACAAAAAUGGUCAUUUUAGGGUCACAGGUCUUUGCACAAAAAGAAGUUUUGGGAACAGUAGUUUUCAUUCAAAAUGUUAAUCCAUGAGGGAUUAAGAACAACCUCACUUUAUGAGACCAGAAUGUUUAAACAGAGUCAGUGUUCUAGAAACUUAGCAAAGUGAUGUAAGACAUGAAACAAAAUGAUACGUCUGUCUUUUUUCCUUCCUGGGCAAGGUGCAUCUCAGCACUGGUGUCCUGCGGCUUUGCGGAUCUGCAUGGUGAGUGUGCUUUGACUAUUAUUUCUGUGUAAGAAAAAUGGAUGAACAAUUCCAGCUCCUUCUUGUUGCCUGCCGUCAGGAGACCGUUCACAAUCCGGCACUACCCAGAGAGGGUCCGAGAAUCUCCUUCCACAGCAGCCAUGCCCCCCUGCACUUCGAGGUGCCAACACUCCCCACAUGCUCCACGCAGAACCCCCGGCCCUCCACUCCAUGGCCACCAAGUCUCCAUGUCUCCCCAGAGCACAGGCCUUCAGGGAUCAUUCCAGGGCCCCUGUCAUAAUUCACUCAACAAUUCCCUUUAAAGCAACUUAAAUCUUAUCCCGCCUUCUUUACCUUUGUCCUGAACAAUCACUGCUGUGAAAUCGCUAGUUUGACAGGCCCUUCAGGAGGAGGGGAGUGUCUCCUUGACCACAGGAGCACCUGGUUACAGCCGGCAUCCUGGUAACCAUCGCCAGGGACUGGGAGUGCUUCUGGGAACAGCAGCAGCCAGCAGGCGGGGGCAGAUCCUCUCUGCUAUAUUUACAGAAGCCAAGAAUGAAAAGGCUUUAGGUUAGAAUGCCUCCAUGCAGUAUCUACAUCUGAAAGGCAGCCAUUCAGCCGGAAGAAAUGACUGGCAGUUCAGCCCCAGGCCGGCCAGACCUCCCACAGACUUUUCUUGUUUGGUGAAGCCGGUAUGAAUGGUUUCUUUGCAGGAGCAGCUGCCUGGGUUCCAAGAAAGAAUGAAAGGGAUGGGGAGAGACAGAGAGAGAGAGAAACAUCGAUGUGAGACAC